rnacentral:rRNA from 1 species
AUUGAACGCUGGCGGCAUGCCUUACACAUGCAAGUCGAACGGCAGCACGGGUGCCUGCACCUGGUGGCGAGUGGCGAACGGGUGAGUAAUACAUCGGAACAUGUCCUGUAGUGGGGGAUAGCCCGGCGAAAGCCGGAUUAAUACCGCAUACGAUCUACGGAUGAAAGCGGGGGACCUUCGGGCCUCGCGCUAUAGGGUUGGCCGAUGGCUGAUUAGCUAGUUGGUGGGGUAAAGGCCUACCAAGGCGACGAUCAGUAGCUGGUCUGAGAGGACGACCAGCCACACUGGGACUGAGACACGGCCCAGACUCCUACGGGAGGCAGCAGUGGGGAAUUUUGGACAAUGGGCGAAAGCCUGAUCCAGCAAUGCCGCGUGUGUGAAGAAGGCCCUCGGGUUGUAAAGCACUUUUGUCCGGAAAGAAAUCCUUGGCCCUAAUACGGUCGGGGGAUGACGGUACCGGAAGAAUAAGCACCGGCUAACUACGUG